CCUACGGGUGGCAGCAGUCGAGAAUCAUUCACAAUGGGGGAAACCCUGAUGGGGCGACGCCGCGUGGGGGAAUGAAGGUCUGCGGAUUGUAAACCCCUGUCAUGUGGGAGCAAAUUAAAAAGAUAGUACCACAAGAGGAAGAGACGGCUAACUCUGUGCCAGCAGCCGCGGUAAUACAGAGGUCUCAAGCGUUGUUCGGAAUCACUGGGCGUAAAGCGUGCGUAGGCUGUUUCGUAAGUCGUGUGUGAAAGGCGCGGGCUCAACCCGCGGACGGCACAUGAGACUGCGAGACUAGAGUAAUGGAGGGGGAACCGGAAUUCUCGGUGUAGCGGUGAAAUGCGUAGAUAUCGGGAGGAACACUCGUGGCGAAGGCGGGUUCCUGGACAUUAACUGACGCUGAGGCACGAAGGCCCGGGGAGCGAAAAGGAUUAGAUACCCCAGUAGUC
rnacentral:rRNA from 1 species